CAUCAACAACAAAAAUACGAAUACGAACAACAACAACAAUAGCAGCCACAAUCUAAAUCACAAUUUAUCUGACCACGAAACUCCGGGAAGUGCUAUGGCUACACCAACCACUACCAUAACUUUGUUAUAAGGCCUGUAUAACCUGUAAACAAGAACCCUACCCCACAACUCCAGACCCCCAAUACUUCAUCUUCUCCUCGUCUAUAGAUUUAGGAUUUUUUAGUUAUAAGGACUAUUGGUUUAAAGCCACGCAAAUAAGAAACAACAAACAACAAAAAAACAUUUGAGAAAAACAAAAGAAAAAGAAUAUCAAUAAUCAAUUAUAAAAUGAGCACUGUUU